CCCAUCUAGAGGACACGCAGAAACAGCACCCUCCUGGAGAAAGGGCCCCACUCAGCCUGCCCUGGCCUUGCUGGAGGUGGGGCUUUUCGGGAAAAGAACGAGGAGGCUGAAGACAGGAAAGCCAGCGGGUGGGGAGGCUGGGACCCUGGGGGAGGGGUGGGAACAUUGUGAAGGCCACACCCCAAGCCCUGGGGCCCUGUAUUGGGUCUUUGUUGCAUUGCUAUAAAGAAAUACCUGAGACUGGGUGAUUUAUAAAGGAGAGAAAUUCGACUGGCUCAUGGUUCUGCAGGCCGUACAGGAAGCCUGGUGCUGGCAGAUCUGCUUCUAGGGAGUUCUCAGGAAGCUUCUGGUCAUGGUGGAAGGCAAUGCGGAGCCAGCGAGUCACAUGAUGAGACCCCGAGCAAGAAAGAGAGGCCGGGAGGUGCCACACUCUACAACAACCAGCAACCUGGAGCUGUGCGGACUGAGACUGAGAUGCAUCGCUGAAACUCUCUUUAGGUGUUCCCUACCAUUUCUUCUUGGAAAAGAAGGUUUUACCUCCUGGGAUUUUUGAGAACCUCUAACUUCUCCAUUGGGGACCAUCUCCAGGUACCACCAAAAAAGAGCACAACAGCAGCCUUGCGGAUAAGUCCUGGUCUGGAGUCAGCCACCGCUGCACACACCACUCAGAGCUGCAUCAUCGGGUUACCCCUGGAAAGGCUGCCCACACACCCACAUCCAGGGGUGUCUCGUCACUGCUGACGACUAGCACGGUGAAUGUUCUGCUUCGUGGAGAGACUAUCAGAGCUGGAAUAUCCAUAGGCUUAUAAUCUUCAUGAAUACUUCCUCUCUCAAUUGCCGUGAAAUAAUAUGGCUCCUCAGUCCAUGAAGCUGGCAUCAAUAACUGAAAUAGGCUCGGAAAAGUCCGGGCAAGAGGAACCUGAAAGCUCAGCAUGAGAUGAAGUGGCUGGAGGCACGUGAGUCCUGCACUGAUAGAGGCCGGUUCUGUCAAGCCUCACCUGGAUGAUGUGUGUGACUCUUCCCAUAGAAAGGAGCAGGCUCUCUCAUGAAGCCUCCAUUCUAGCAUUUUGUGAUCAUCUAUGACCUUAGAGGGGUCCUCUAUAACCCUGAGUCCCAAACAGGUGAAUACAGAGUGGGCUCACACUUAUUUCUCCAUUAUUCCUGUGUUCUUUCAGGAGGCUGACCAUCAAACCUACUUAGAAGUCAGACCUUGAAUGUUCCACACAAAAAUAACUGAAGAUGGGCCUCCAGUCUUACGACGCCACAAAGUGCCCUGACACCACUGAACACGAAAACUCAUUGCAGAG
rnacentral:lncRNA from 10 species